rnacentral:piRNA from 1 species
UUCCAGUCUGUAAUCAUGAUGCCCACUCAGU